UACGUAGGGUGCGAGCGUUAAUCGGAAUUACUGGGCGUAAAGGGUGCGUAGGCGGCGCGGUAAGUCGGGUGUGAAAUCUCGGAGCUUAACUCCGAAACUGCAUUCGAUACUGCCGUGCUUGAGGACUGGAGAGGAGACUGGAAUUUACGGUGUAGCGGUGAAAUGCGUAGAUAUCGUAAGGAAGACCAGUGGCGAAGGCGGGUCUCUGGACAGUUCCUGACGCUGAGGCACGAAGGUCAGGGGAGCAAACGGG
rnacentral:rRNA from 1 species